UAUAGACUUUUUCCAUUGCUGGUCUCGUUGCAGGUGAAAUAUUUAGAUGGGGAUGUAGAAGAGCUUAAUCUCAAAGUGGAACGUUUUGAGAUAAUCCAGGAUAUUGAUGAGGAGUCUACUCCUUUAAUUAAAAUUAUACAAAGGCAGAAAGCCAAGAA